rnacentral:rRNA from 1 species
CCUACGGGAGGCAGCAGUGAGGAAUAUUGGUCAAUGGGCGCGAGCCUGAACCAGCCAAGUAGCGUGAGGGAUGACGGCCCUACGGUUUGUAAACUUCUUUUAUAAGGGAAUAAAGUGCGGCACGUGUGCCGUUUUGUAUGUACUUUAUGAAUAAGGAUCGGCUAACUCCGUGCCAGCAGCCGCGGUAAUACGGAGGAUCCGAGCGUUAUCCGGAUUUAUUGGGUUUAAAGGGAGCGUAGGUGGGUUGUUAAGUCAGUUGUGAAAGUUUGCGGCUCAACCGUAAAAUUGCAAUUGAUACUGGCAGUCUUGAGUACAGUUGAGGUAGGCGGAAUUCGUGGUGUAGCGGUGAAAUGCUUAGAUAUCACGAAGAACCCCGAUUGCGAAGGCAGCUUACUAAACUGUCACUGACACUGAUGCUCGAAAGCGUGGGUAUCAAACAGGAUUAGAUACCCGAGUAGUC